GAGAGACUCCUUUCCUCCACAGAGGUUACAUCUGUUUACAGCGUGUAAGAUUUUUGCGACAUGCUCAACGUUGUCAACAAUUACCGUGACGUCAUCGGCAAAUGCCAGUACUGGUGUUAUCUUACCUACUGAAGGUGGUACCGCGACUUUAUCCUCGAGAUCUGUAGUGUCUGGAAUGACGUCGAGUGCGGGCACCAGUACCUUCGAGUAGCCGAAUGCCGCUGCAUAGGUCCUCUGCCUACACUCGGCUACCGGGUGAUCGCCUCGACAUCGCGGGCAGGGAUGACCCUGCCGUCCGCACUUCCGGCACACCCGAGUGACUCCCUGGUACUCGCACUGGACGACAAAGCUGCGGUUCGCGACGUUGACCUUUAGAUUACCCUACAACAAUCCGAGGCAGCAGAGGUGGCAUGGUGGCAGUGCUUCCAGCAACGUACUCGGAGAGGAAGCCCAGUGCGAAGCCAGUAAAGUAUUAAGUGAAGAAAAUUAGCAGAGACUCUUUGGCUGCACGUUGAACAUAUGUUUAUAAGUCCCAAACGUCGCCGCACAAGCAUUGGACAGCUGU